AUGAAAUUGUUACUUGUCCAAAUUUUUUUUACUAAAAAUAACCUUUUUACAUCUUAAGUUGAUUAAAGGAACAAAACGAAUUUAAACAAUAGAACUGAAUUUGAUCUUUUUCUUUUGAAAUACUUUUCAAAAAUAUGAGUCAAUUACAAAAAAAAAGGAUGACGAAAGAUACCAAAGGGACAGCCAAACCCACAAAUCCAAAACAAACUGACAACGCCAUGGCCAAAAAUGAAAAAGACAAACAAACAACAACACACAAGACACAACACAGAAAACCAAAGAAUAAACAACUCGAACCCCACCAAAAAACUAGGGGUGAUC
rnacentral:lncRNA from 1 species